rnacentral:rRNA from 1 species
UACGAAGGGGGCUAGCGUUGCUCGGAUUGACUGGGCGUAAAGGGCGCGUAGGCGGUUCGUACAGUCAGACGUGAAAUUCCUGGGCUCAACCUGGGGGCUGCGUUUGAUACGUGCGGACUUGAGUGCGGAAGAGGGUCGUGGAAUUCCCAGUGUAGAGGUGAAAUUCGUAGAUAUUGGGAAGAACACCGGUGGCGAAGGCGGCGACCUGGGCCAAUAUUGACGCUGAGGUGCGAAAGCGUGGGGAGCAAACAGG